rnacentral:rRNA from 1 species
ACUCCUACGGGAGGCAGCAGUGGGGAAUAUUGCACAAUGGGGGAAACCCUGAUGCAGCCAUGCCGCGUGUGUGAAGAAGGCCUUCGGGUUGUAAAGCACUUUCAGCGAGGAGGAAAGGUUGAUACCUAAUACGUAUCAGCUGUGACGUUAC